GUGCGCCUUGGGGACGAUUUUCUUUUUUUUCUUGCUGGAGAGUUAAAGGUAGGGGUGCGUGGUGGAUUGAGGUGUGCGUGCGAUUUGUAAGGUUUAGGAGGGCGGCAGAGGAGUGAGGUGGGGCGGCAGGGCGAG
rnacentral:ribozyme from 1 species